rnacentral:rRNA from 1 species
UCAAGUGAAGAAGCGCAUACGGUGGAUGCCUUGGCAGUCAGAGGCGAUGAAAGACGUGGUAGCCUGCGAAAAGCUUCGGGGAGUCGGCAAACAGACUUUGAUCCGGAGAUGUCUGAAUGGGGGAACCCAGCCAUCAUAAGAUGGUUAUCUUGUACUGAAUACAUAGGUGCAAGAGGCGAACCAGGGGAACUGAAACAUCUAAGUACCCUGAGGAAAAGAAAUCAACCGAGAUUCCCUUAGUAGUGGCGAGCGAACGGGGACUAGCCCUUAAGUGGCUUUGAGAUUAGCGGAACGCUCUGGAAAGUGCGGCCAUAGUGGGUGAUAGCCCUGUACGCGAAAAUCUCUUGGUCAUGAAAUCGAGUAGGACGGGGCACGAGAAACCUUGUCUGAAUAUGGGGGGACCAUCCUCCAAGGCUAAAUACUACUGACUGACCGAUAGUGAACUAGUACCGUGAGGGAAAGGCGAAAAGAACCCCGGAGAGGGGAGUGAAAUAGAUCCUGAAACCGUAUGCGUACAAGCAGUGGGAGCCCACUUUGUUGGGUGACUGCGUACCUUUUGUAUAAUGGGUCAGCGACUUAUUUUCAGUGGCGAGCUUAACCGAAUAGGGGAGGCGUAGCGAAAGCGAGUCUUAAUAGGGCGUCUAGUCGCUGGGAAUAGACCCGAAACCGGGCGAUCUAUCCAUGGGCAGGUUGAAGGUUAGGUAACACUGACUGGAGGACCGAACCGACUACCGUUGAAAAGUUAGCGGAUGACCUGUGGAUCGGAGUGAAAGGCUAAUCAAGCUCGGAGAUAGCUGGUUCUCCUCGAAAGCUAUUUAGGUAGCGCCUCAUGUAUCACUGUAGGGGGUAGAGCACUGUUUCGGCUAGGGGGUCAUCCCGACUUACCAAACCGAUGCAAACUCCGAAUACCUACAAGUGCCGAGCAUGGGAGACACACGGCGGGUGCUAACGUCCGUCGUGAAAAGGGAAACAACCCAGACCGUCAGCUAAGGUCCCAAAGUCAUGGUUAAGUGGGAAACGAUGUGGGAAGGCUUAGACAGCUAGGAGGUUGGCUUAGAAGCAGCCACCCUUUAAAGAAAGCGUAAUAGCUCACUAGUCGAGUCGGCCUGCGCGGAAGAUGUAACGGGGCUCAAACCAUGCACCGAAGCUACGGGUAUCACUUAGGUGAUGCGGUAGAGGAGCGUUCUGUAAGCCUGUGAAGGUGAGUUGAGAAGCUUGCUGGAGGUAUCAGAAGUGCGAAUGCUGACAUGAGUAACGACAAUGGGUGUGAAAAACACCCACGCCGAAAGACCAAGGUUUCCUGCGCAACGUUAAUCGACGCAGGGUUAGUCGGUCCCUAAGGCGAGGCUGAAAAGCGUAGUCGAUGGAAAACAGGUUAAUAUUCCUGUACUUCUGGUUAUUGCGAUGGAGGGACGGAGAAGGCUAGGCCAGCUUGGCGUUGGUUGUCCAAGUUUAAGGUGGUAGGCUGAGAUCUUAGGUAAAUCCGGGAUCUUAAGGCCGAGAGCUGAUGACGAGUGUUCUUUUAGAACACGAAGUGGUUGAUGCCAUGCUUCCAAGAAAAGCUUCUAAGCUUCAGGUAACCAGGAACCGUACCCCAAACCGACACAGGUGGUUGGGUAGAGAAUACCAAGGCGCUUGAGAGAACUCGGGUGAAGGAACUAGGCAAAAUGGCACCGUAACUUCGGGAGAAGGUGCGCCGGUGAGGGUGAAGGACUUGCUCCGUAAGCUCAUGCCGGUCGAAGAUACCAGGCCGCUGCGACUGUUUAUUAAAAACACAGCACUCUGCAAACACGAAAGUGGACGUAUAGGGUGUGACGCCUGCCCGGUGCCGGAAGGUUAAUUGAUGGGGUUAGCUAACGCGAAGCUCUUGAUCGAAGCCCCGGUAAACGGCGGCCGUAACUAUAACGGUCCUAAGGUAGCGAAAUUCCUUGUCGGGUAAGUUCCGACCUGCACGAAUGGCGUAACGAUGGCGGCGCUGUCUCCACCCGAGACUCAGUGAAAUUGAAAUCGCUGUGAAGAUGCAGUGUAUCCGCGGCUAGACGGAAAGACCCCGUGAACCUUUACUAUAGCUUUGCACUGGACUUUGAAUUUGCUUGUGUAGGAUAGGUGGGAGGCUUUGAAGCGUGGACGCCAGUUCGCGUGGAGCCAUCCUUGAAAUACCACCCUGGCAACUUUGAGGUUCUAACUCAGGUCCGUUAUCCGGAUCGAGGACAGUGUAUGGUGGGUAGUUUGACUGGGGCGGUCUCCUCCUAAAGAGUAACGGAGGAGUACGAAGGUGCGCUCAGACCGGUCGGAAAUCGGUCGUAGAGUAUAAAGGCAAAAGCGCGCUUGACUGCGAGACAGACACGUCGAGCAGGUACGAAAGUAGGUCUUAGUGAUCCGGUGGUUCUGUAUGGAAGGGCCAUCGCUCAACGGAUAAAAGGUACUCCGGGGAUAACAGGCUGAUACCGCCCAAGAGUUCAUAUCGACGGCGGUGUUUGGCACCUCGAUGUCGGCUCAUCACAUCCUGGGGCUGAAGCCGGUCCCAAGGGUAUGGCUGUUCGCCAUUUAAAGUGGUACGCGAGCUGGGUUUAGAACGUCGUGAGACAGUUCGGUCCCUAUCUGCCGUGGACGUUUGAGAUUUGAGAGGGGCUGCUCCUAGUACGAGAGGACCGGAGUGGACGAACCUCUGGUGUUCCGGUUGUCACGCCAGUGGCAUUGCCGGGUAGCUAUGUUCGGAAAAGAUAACCGCUGAAAGCAUCUAAGCGGGAAACUUGCCUCAAGAUGAGAUCUCACUGGAACCUUGAGUUCCCUGAAGGGCCGUCGAAGACUACGACGUUGAUAGGCAGGGUGUGUAAGCGCUGUGAGGCGUUGAGCUAACCUGUACUAAUUGCCCGUGAGGCUUGACCA